GUUUGCCAUGACAGAACUUCCACUGCUGUGUUUACAUGAGAAAGUACCGCGGAGAACCAUAGAUAUACGGAGAACAGCGUACACAACUGAAUGAGUUCGAGGUUGAUCGUUAUUCAUGUAUGUAAUCUCAGGUAUUAUUUUGGCGCUCUCCUUCCAUGCUUUGUGAUUAUAUUUUCGACCGAUACUAUAAAAUGGACAGAGACCAUCUAAAUCUUGUUGUGAAUUCCAAGUAAAGAGGACACAGACCAGGAAUGGUUGCUGAUGUGGUAGUAAAAAGUAACCUACUGGACAGUAAGCUUUAAGGCAGUCAGCUUAAUCUCUGGCUCCACCAAAUUUGGUUUAAAAACAGCACUUCUUUCAAAAUACAUCCCACGAGCUAUGAUAUGGAGCUGGAGACCAGGAGAGACAUGGAUAGCCAAAGUCACAAGGACGAGCAUGACUCGUGGCACACUUCCACUAUGCCCCCUGGCUGGAUGAGAGAAGUGAGGCAGCGGAAAGCAGGCAAGACAGCAGGCAAGCUGGAUGUCUACAUCACAAGUCCCCAAGGGCAGAGGUUCCGAUCAAGAGCAUCCCUGCACGCUUUCCUCCUAAAAAGUGGAAACGAGAACUUAGACCUGAGCGUCUUUGAUUUCACCACGUCUAAAGAUGUCGCAGCUACUUUACAAAUACUCCCUUCCAGAGUAAAGCAGAGGAGACGAAAGAAGAAACAUGCAGAUGUACAGCAGGAGAAAACAGAAAAUGGAAAAGAAACUCUGGAUCCACCCCCAAAUAAGUCUAAAAAAGCCUCCUCCUCAGUCAUAAAUCAUCCUAAAGACAGAAAUGUAGAGAAUGCAGAAGAAACUGGCCUCAAUGGGACUGAUAUUGUAUUAGAAGUUGGUGGAGACGAAACUGAUCAGACUGGCUGCUUACAAGCUGCACCUUCAGGAAAGUUGAACGAUACAAAGCUACAGAAGAGCACUGAGAGAGUGGGCCUGCUGAGAGAGAAGCUGCUCAGACUGGCUCCUUCCAGCAAUCAACAAAACAUCAUCGUUGUUCACAAGGAUGAACAGUCAGAAUCGCAGCCUUCAGUCCCAACUUUAAAAGUUGAUCCUGCCACUGAGAGCGAGAAUGAAGGUGAGGAUGAGCCAGAUGCAGAUGGAACGUGGAUUCACAGCAAAGGUGACAACAAGCCUAAUUCUGAACUGAAGGCUGACGCUGACAGUCAAGAGCAUGUGGAAGAGGAGGUGUUGUUACCUGACAUCACAGAUGGGAGCUGUACACCAGUCAGAGAGUCCCAGAAUAAGUCCAAGAGUGUGGAAGACAAGCGGAUAACAAGCCCUUAUUUCAGGGGGAAACCACUCAGAGAUGGUCUUGAAGCACCCAGGAGGAAAGCCUUCAAGAAGUGGACGCCCCCUCGAUCACCUUUCAACCUCGUACAGGAAACCCUUUUUCACGACCCUUGGAAGCUCCUGGUGGCUACUGUUUUUCUGAACAAGACAAGUGGUAAGAUGGCCAUUCCAGUGUUGUGGCAGUUCUUUGAGCAAUACCCAUCUGCAGAGGUCACCCGCGAGGCCGAUUGGAAGCCGAUUUCUGAACUAAUGAAGCCACUCGGCCUGUAUGAGCUCAGAGCAAAAACACUCAUCCGCUUCUCAGAUGAAUAUCUGACUAAACAGUGGCGCUAUCCCAUCGAACUGCAUGGUAUCGGGAAGUACGGCAACGACUCCUACAGGAUCUUCUGCAUUGGGGAGUGGAGACAGGUGACACCUGAAGAUCACAAGUUAAACAAAUACCAUGCCUGGCUGUGGGAGAACCAUGAAACUCUGGGAAUCUGAGUCAUCAAGUAUGAGAAACAAGGACUCAAAGACAAUUUCCUGUGGCACAAACAAGAGAAUCAGUUAUAUCACAUAAACACUGUAGUUCUUUAACUACAUUUGCAUUAUGAUGAAGUUGCAAUUUUAAAGCUGUGUUGCUUAAAAAUUAUGCAUUAACAUUCCAAAGAUAAGCAUUCCUUUAAAAAGUUUUACUCCAUGUUCAAUAAAGUGUUUAAGUGGUUUAAAAGUUGAAAUGAAGUGCAUUUCUCAGUCUGUCUCCUGAUUGGUUUCGUUGAGUCGUUCCUUUCUAUGCAGAUGUGAUCCUGAGACAUCCUCCGACUAUCUGGUUAGACCGUCGUCACAGGCUAAUAAUCUUUCUUUAUGAGUGCACUGAUGCAUGGCCACUACGCAGCAGCUUUCUUUUGCUGGGGGGUAACCCGAUUCCCAAGGCAACUGUUGCCAUUGCAAAACACUCAGUAAAGGCAGCGGCGUGCCAAGGUUUAAUCUCUAACUAGCAGCAGCUCAGUAAUUUGACAUAUUUACAUUGGGAUUUGUGUUGCCAUUUAAUGCUCUGAUUCACAAAGAAACUUUGAUUGCACAUCAAGAUUGGACUUCUCUGGUGGCGAAUGUGAAACAGCGUGAAAAAGAUGAAACUACGUAAGAGAUUUUUUUUUUUUUUUUCCAUUUGCAGACUGUUUUAGUGUUGCCAAUAGCCUUUAUGUGAUUCUGUUUUUUUCAUCACCACAGCAUCCAUCUCUGUAGCUUCCACACCAGUGCGCAUUCCUCACAACACUCCUCCUGUCCGGCAGAGUCGCUGCCUGGUGGUCACUCCCAUGACAUUUCCCAUCAUCUCAGACUCUGCCCGGAUGUGGACAAGCAAUCAGUAUCUGCCCCCUAGAGUAUUCCUCGAUUGAAUCCCUUGCAUCCACCUUUGGUCCCUAAACGCACCGUCAGUCUGGAGACACCAGCCGUUCACCACCACAACCACCAGAGGACACUGAUCAUGCAGAGAAGAGAGCACUACAGGUAAGAAUCCUGCUUAAACCAAUUGUCACAGAGAAUCACACAAAGAGAAUCGUUUGUCUUUGCUUUGAAGAGUAAAGUCAAUGUUACAGGUAUCAUCAAGUGUGGAGGAAACCUUUCUAUGGAACCGGCAGUGAGAGAGAAGAGUACAGGAAGGAGUUGCGAGAGCAGUUACAGAGGCAAAUAGAGGAGAAAUGUGUAACACUGAAGCUGCAGCUGGCUGGCAAAGUGAAGGAAGCCGAGCAUCUCCAAGAAGUGGACCGCCUCGCCCUGUCCAGCGAAAGAGAGCAAAGGAUGCAGCACAGCAAAGCGAUGACAGCGUACAGAGACGAGAACAAGAAGCUAAUGGAGCAGAGCUGGAGGGAUAGAGCACUAACACGUUCCCAGGAGGUCCUGAAGGAGAGAGAACUGCUGCGCCUCAACCCCAUUAACUGGAGUGGAACACUGAAAUAGGCCGAAGCUCUUCAAGAAGUCAAAAUGUAAAAGUCAGGCCUCAUUGUAGCACUUAUGUGUGAAUAAUGACAUCUGAGAUAUACAGUACAUGUAAAUACUGAAUGAUCAGAGGACCUUUUCUAGGGGGUGUUAGACUAGGAAGAAGCAAAUUAAGGUCUUAGGCAUUUUACUGAAUCCUAAAGUGUUUCUGUUCUGCUCCUACAAAGGUUCAUGUCACGGUACAGUUAACCCAGGAUUCCUGUCUUCGACGUCUCUGCAUGCUGUGUAAUUCAUAAAACAAGAGAUAGUUUUUCCACAAGCCAGAAUGUUUUCCCAGUUAUGUCUUUGUAAAGAGCAGAAAAAAAGCUUAACAAAAUGACAUUAAAAAUUCAAAUAAAACAUGA